GAUCAUUCAGUAGUCAUGGUAAUAAAAAGUUGUGCAUACUCUGCUGUCUAAAAUAGGUUGUUACUAGAACUCAGAAAUGAGAUUUUUUUUUUCAAGUGACUAAUUAGAUGUUGGAAAGUUAUGUUCUAUUAUUUGCUUUGAAGAGAACUCUGUUUUGAUUGCAAUGCUCUUAUUCAUUGCAGAAGGAUGGGAGGAUUCCCACACA
rnacentral:misc_RNA from 1 species